rnacentral:rRNA from 1 species
GCCCUUGAGUUUGAUCAUGGCUCAGAUUGAACGCUGGCGGCAGGCCUAACACAUGCAAGUCGAGCGCGAAAGUUCUUCGGAAUGAGUAAAGCGGCGGACGGGUGAGUAACGCGUGGGAAUCUGCCUGGUAGUGGGGGACAACGUUCGGAAACGAACGCUAAUACCGCAUACGCCCUACGGGGGAAAGGGGGGGAUCUUCGGACCUCUCGCUAUCAGAUGAGCCCGCGUCGGAUUAGCUAGUUGGUGGGGUAAAGGCCUACCAAGGCGACGAUCCGUAACUGGUCUGAGAGGAUGAUCAGUCACACUGGAACUGAGACACGGUCCAGACUCCUACGGGAGGCAGCAGUGGGGAAUAUUGGACAAUGGGGGAAACCCUGAUCCAGCCAUGCCGCGUGUGUGAAGAAGGCCUUAGGGUUGUAAAGCACUUUCAGUGGGGAGAAAGGUUGUUCACUUAAUACGUGAGCAAAUUGAUGUUACCCACAGAAGAAGCACCGGCUAACUCCGUGCCAGCAGCCGCGGUA